UACGUAGGGACCAAGCGUUGUCCGGAAUCAUUGGGCGUAAAGAGCGUGUAGGCGGCUCGGUAAGUCCGCUGUAAAAGUCAAAGGCUCAACCUUUGAAUGUCAGUGGAUACUGCCGGGCUAGAGUCCGGAAGAGGCGAGUGGAACUCCUGGUGUAGCGGUGGAAUGCGCAGAUAUCAGGAAGAACACCAACGGCGAAGGCAGCUCGCUAGGACGGUACUGACGCUGAGACGCGAAAGCGUGGGGAGCGAACAGG
rnacentral:rRNA from 1 species